GCCCGUGUGGGGUAGCCUGGAUAUCCUGAGAGGUUGCGGACCUCUUGACCUGGAUUCGAAUUCCAGCACGGGCGCCA
rnacentral:tRNA from 1 species